AUACACAGCCAUUAUCACCAAAUAUCCGAUCAUAAAUCGCUCAUUCUGGCUUUCAUUCUGAAUGUGAACCUCCUAAUCUCCGGCACUGUGCUGCUAGCUUGUCGCGACUGCCAACGCCAGGGUGCGAAAACAAACGGGACUCCCCUUUUGUCUCAAAGUAGUCUAUGAGCAACAAUGUCAGGGCGUUUCCCGGUCCUACCUGUACCGGCUUACCUCCCCACUUGUGGUUUUGACACCAUGAGACAACACGGUGGCCUCUAACGCAGCGUAAACGACUGGCUGCUGCGGCAGGUGCUGGACCGGAGACGUCAUGACGCCGGGAUACCGAAGAAGGAGCAUCGUAAAAGUGCAGGAGGCUUUGAGAGACAAAUGAAAGGAAAACGAACAAAGCGAACAACAGAGAGCAUGGUGUCCCCAGAGCAGGGGUUCAUGGAUCAGCAGGGUUCACUGCAGAGCAAAAGAGAGUAGAAAACUGAGGAAAAGCUGCAGAAACAAGCAUCAGAGGGGCCCAUUGAUCCACACAGCAUGCUGACAUGUAGUGCUUUAGAAUUCAGUGAAGGUUAUGUGAAUAGGAGAAAAUGGAACUGAGCCCAUCAGCCCUGAUUUAAGAAAAGGACCACCCGACCAUUAAAUUUAUAUGGAUGAAAAAGAUAAAUACAAUUCUAAUUCAAUGCUUUCCAGCCAUAUAAUUAGAUUGAUAUAGUAAUAUCACCAAAUAAUAAAGAUUUUCCAUUUUACUAACCAAUAUUUACUUUUUUCUACUGUUACUCCACCACCUGAGCUGCUGCUGUUCACUGUGGACAAAAAGCCAGCUGUGUAGCUGUGAAGCCAGCCUCUGCUUCUGCCUUGCAACACUUGACUUGGAUCAGGCUAAUAUUAAAGACAGUGAAAACAUAUGUAUGCUUUAUUGUGGAAACUAGAUACAGAGCAUACUGCUGUUUAUCCAAGAAUGGGCAGCCUCAAAACAACACACCAUGGUAGAGAGAACACCAAAGAGUCAAAUGAGCACAAGCUGGAGUCAGCAGGGAGGGUGCGGUACUCUUCCCAUGUGAGUACAUCAACAGCUGACUCAAAGGACUCUGACUUGAAGACAUAGGGAAUGUUAGUUGUCUUUGGCCUGCUACGUUUGAGCCUGACUGCUGCAUUUUUCUUUGAUAAGUUUGCCGUGAAGGCAGCACUGAUGGAGACAGGCCCUGCCUUGGACCCCAUUCUUUACUCCUCUCCUGUGCUACUCUUAAGUUGAACAGUUUGAAGUCCUUCAUUUUAGUUUGAGUUUUAUCAGCCUCCUGGUAUUUUAUGUUUGACUUUCUUAGCAAAGCCCAAUUUAUCUCUAGUAACCCAAUACGAGCUGUACUUUUAUCCUUCAUCUUGUGUAUUAAAGUCCUGCUCUUAACC